UUGAUCCUGGCUCAGAGUGAACGCUGGCGGCAGGCCUAACACAUGCAAGUCGAACGGCAGCACAGCAGUAGCAAUACUGUGGGUGGCGAGUGGCGGACGGGUGAGGAAUACAUCGGAAUCUACCUUGUCGUGGGGGAUAACGUAGGGAAACUUACGCUAAUACCGCAUACGAACCAUGGUUGAAAGCGGCGGACCGCAAGGCGUCGCGCGAUUGGAUGAGCCGAUGUCCGAUUAGCUAGUUGGCGGGGUAAAGGCCCACCAAGGCGACGAUCGGUAGCUGGUCUGAGAGGAUGAUCAGCCACACUGGAACUGAGACACGGUCCAGACUCCUACGGGAGGCAGCAGUGGGGAAUAUUGGACAAUGGGCGCAAGCCUGAUCCAGCCAUGCCGCGUGUGUGAAGAAGGCCUUCGGGUUGUAAAGCACUUUUGUUCGGGAAGAAAAGCACUGGGUUAAUACCCCGGUGUCAUGACGGUACCGAAAGAAUAAGCACCGGCUAACUUCGUGCCAGCAGCCGCGGUAGUACGAAGGGUGCAAGCGUUACUCGGAAUUACUGGGCGUAAAGCGUGCGUAGGCGGUUUGUUAAGUCUGUCGUGAAAGCCCCGGGCUCAACCUGGGAAUGGCGAUGGAUACUGGCGAGCUAGAGUACGGUAGAGGAGAGUGGAAUUCCCGGUGUAGCAGUGAA
rnacentral:rRNA from 1 species